rnacentral:rRNA from 1 species
CCWUARAGUYUGAUCSUGGCUCAKAACRWRYGKUGGCGGCGGGCCUCGUACAUGCAAGUCGAGCGCGAAAGUCCGCAWGGAUGAGUAAAGCGGCGCACGGGUGAGUAACACGUGGAUAAUCUACCCUUUGGAUUGGAAUAACCUGUCGAAAGACGGGCUAAUGCCGAGUAAGCUCUCGGGAGCGUGAAGCUCUUGCGAGGAAAGAUGGCGCAAGCUAUCGCCGAUGGAUGAGUCUGCGUCCCAUUAGUUAGUUGGUGAGGUAACAGCUACCAAGACGAUGAUGGGUACCUGGUCUGAGAGGAUGAUCAGGCACACUGGAACUGAAACACGGUCCAGACUCCUACGGGAGGCAGCAGUAGGGAAUAUUGCGCAAUGGACGAAAGUCUGACGCAGCCACGCC